AACGAACGCUGGCGGCAGGCCUAACACAUGCAAGUCGAACGCUGUAGCAAUACAGAGUGGCAGACGGGUGAGUAACGCGUGGGAACCUUCCCAAUGGUGCGGAAUAGCUCAGGGAAACUUGAGGUAAUACCGCAUAAGCCCUUAGGGGGAAAGAUUUAUCGCCAUUGGAUGGGCCCGCGUCGGAUUAGCUAGUUGGUGAGGUAAUGGCUCACCAAGGCAACGAUCCGUAGCUGGUUUGAGAGAAUGACCAGCCACACUGGGACUGAGACACGGCCCGGACUUCUGCGGGAGGCAGCAGGGGGGAAUCUUGGACAACGGGCGCAAGCCUGAUCCAGCCAUGCCGUGUGAGUGACGAAGGCCUUAGGGUUGUAAAGCUCUUUUGCCGGGGACCAUAAUGACGGUACCCGGAGAAUAAGUCCCGGCUAACUUCGUGCCAGCCGCCGCAGUAACAC
rnacentral:rRNA from 1 species